CACAGCCGCCGACAUUUCCAAACCGGCCGCGCAAUCCGACCACCACCGACCACGUCCAAAAACCCUAAAUCCUGCACGAAACGAAAUCUCCUGAUCGGUCAGCCCUAAGAUCCACCACGCCGCGAAGCCCCAACCCCAGCCCGAUCCCUCCCCUCGACCUAGCUCAUGGCUCCCAAACCCAGAGAGCACGAGAAAAUUACCGAAUCUGAACGGAGAUUCAGCGCCGGAGCCGCCUCUGCUCCGAUCCGGGGCGAUGGGGCCGACGCGCUCGUGCCAGGACGAGAGAGGGGGCGGUAGGGAGCGCCGUCAGGCAUGGGAGAUCGGGGAUGGUGCGCUCGAGGAGGAUCCCGUGGGGAGGCGCAAAGAGACGGCGGUUUGGGCCGAGAGAGACGGCGAGGGGCGGGGGCGAGUUGCGACCUGUGAGCGACACGGGGGCGAGCGCCGAGCGGCAGGGGCGAGCGGG
rnacentral:lncRNA from 1 species